CGGGGCGUAGCGCAGUCUGGUAGCGCACUACACUGGGGGUGUAGUGGUCGUAGGUUCAAAUCCUGCCGUCCCGACCA
rnacentral:tRNA from 1 species